CUCUACACUGUUAUGCUUCAUUAAAAAAGAGUUUUCAUUCAGUUUGUUCUGGAGUAAAGUGAAAUGCUCCAAAUAUAUGUACUCUCUGGUUUUCCCCAGCACUUUUUUUUCCACAGCAGGAAGACAAGAGCUUCUCAGGAAGAAAGGUUUUAUGAUGAUAAGUUCUCAUCUCUUAUCCAUGCCCCCUAUCAGAAUUUGGUCUGUGGCAGUAAAACACUGUGACUGAAAUGUAAUAUAACACAAUAGUUUGUGUACACACUUAUAAGAAGUAGUUAAAUAUGGGUGACAUUAUUCUACCAAUUGCCAAAGCAUAUACUUUGGAUUGGCCACUCAACAUUCAACUUCCACCUUAUGUGCUUUCUUAUGCUGCAGACAUAUUUAGCUAUUUGGCUGGAUUAGGAAGCAUAAAAGUAUAGUACAUCUGUGCAGUAUUCUGUGGCAAUAUGGUGCCAAGACUCUGAUACUAAGUCAUAGAGUCCUUCUUUCUUCUACCUCGGGUGUUCCUACUUACGCCUUGGUCGAAUGUACAUGGUACGUGUACAUGGUAUACAGAGCACCAGGUGUAAAAAGACUGUCAAAAAUUGUUGGCUAUUGAAAUUAUUGAUAUGAAUAAGCUGUGUUGGUCCAAUAAAAUGGUGUGAAUUAAUGCAAAAACUCUAGGAAGAAGUGUUCCUAAAGUAUUUAAUCACUAACUUUUUUUUUUAACCUUUAUUUUAAGUUCAGGGGUACAAGUGCAGGUUUGUUACAUAGGUAAACACGUGUCAUGGGGGUUUGUUGUACAGAUUAUUUCAUCAUCCAGGUAUUAAGCCUAGUACCCACUUGUUGUUUUUCUGAAUCCUCUCCCUUCUCCCACCCUCCACCCUCCAAAAGGCCCCAGUGUGUGUUGUUCUCCUCUAUGUAUCCAUAUGUUCUCAUCAUUUAGCUCCCACUUAUAAGUAAGAAUACGUGAUAUUUGGUUUUCUGUUCCUGUGUUAGUUUGCUAAGGAUGAUGGCCUCAGCUUCAUCCAUGUGCCUGCAAAGGACAUGAUCGCAUUCUUUUUCGUGGCUUCAUAGUAUUCCAUGGUGUGUACAUUUUCCUUAUCCAGGCUAUCACUGAUGGGCAUUUAGGUUGAUUCCAUGACUUUGCUAUUGUCAAUAGUGCUGCAAUGAACACAUGCAUGCAUGGUACUUAAUCACUAACAUUUUUAAGGGUAUUGGAUAACUUGUCUUUCUGAUGUGUUUGACAUUGGCAUAGAUGAUGUUUUUUCUUUUUUUCACAGACUUUUCAGAGAUGAAUAAUGUUUUUUCUUAAAAGCAGUUGUUUGAGCGGCAGUGUCUUUCAGCUGGUCUUGUUUGUGUCAAUAAAUGUCUGUUGUUUAUGUUACUAUUGGUAACUGAUCAGUGGAAGAAAUGUUAAUCAGCAAAUGGAGAGUCCUGGAAUGAUAAGCCUUUCAACCUCUGAUUUGGUUCCUCUCAGCUUUGUGGAAUAAAGGCCAUGGAGUCCUGUUCAAAGUCUCCAGAAAGGCUACACUGUCAGUGUCUUCAGGCAGAUUAACCAGUCCUAUCAUUUAGUAACUUCAGUGAAAGUCGCCGCACGUUUUUGUCAUGGAUUUCUUGAGAAUCCGUUGGAGAGAGAAGUGAAAUCCGUAUUUAAAAGGCUGUGGAACAUUGUGCAUCUAAAGUACUCAGCAAGUUAUUCCCUAAAGCACUCCAUAUGAUAUAAAAGAUUCAGAGUCAUGAAGCCAUCUUUUGAGGAACUUCUUGGACCAUGUAUUUGGAGCAGUAUCUCCCAACUCUUUCAGCUGCUAUACCCUUGAAACUGGGAGCCAUAGAAAAGGCAGUGUUCAAUUCUGAAUUAUUUUUGGACUUGCAGUUGUUGUUACACAUGUUUUUCCACCCAAUAUUCUCAUCAAGAUUAUCAGUGAUGAAGUAUUUCUGAAAAGAGUAUUUCAGUCUCUGGGGCUUUUUCCUAAGCCACUGACAUCCAUUCUGCAAGUUCAGCGGAACAUGUUCAGUGCCCGUGUACAAACUCCCCACACAUCAUCAGGAGCAGUCUCCCUCGAAUAGGCUUACAUGAAUGCAGUUCAAGAACUUGGGCUUUUUGGUAUAGAGAGUCUAGCAAUGUUCCUGAAGAUUUGGAAAUUGUUUACAUUCCAAGAAAAAUGCCAUCCUGUCUUGGAGGUGUUUAACGUGUAUGAUCUCUGAGUGGAAAACUUCUCUGAAAAUAAAUGGAUUACCCUUUUUACUACACUGUCUGAUGUCUCCUCAGCAGAGAGCAUUGCUUCCCUGUGAUCUCUAACCCACCACAAUUGAAAUGACAAGCGUUGAAAUGGGGGCCUCACGGUGGCGCCCUCUGCCUUUGCCGGCCCUUUCUGCAGCACGGAGCGGUUCACGCCUCAGAGCACCGGUUCUCAAACUUGAAUAAUGCCUGGACCCCCUUGGGAAGGAUAGAAUCAUCUUCAGAAACCCCACAACACAUCAGUGGAAUCCACUUGGAGAAAUGCUGACCUAAAAACUAGAAUCUUAUUCUAUUAAAAUGGCUUACAUUUGAGAAUUAUCACUGCAAAGAAAAGUUCCGUCUUUUGAACUGCUAAAAGGUUGAGUUUUUACGUCUUUACUCUGCUAUUGAAACAAAACUAUUAAAAUUAUUUUAAAUAUCCCGAAA